rnacentral:lncRNA from 1 species
CAACUAAGGAGCAUUUUUCUUGGUGCUUAGGCUUGCAGUGUCUGGGCUCAGCCUCAUCAGCCUCUCAGGUGGUGCUCAUCUCCUGGAGGGCUGGGGUUGUGCCACUGCUCCCGGCUCCAUCCCUGCUCGCCUGGUGCUGAGGGCACCACAAAUAUUUCACCUUCCUCAGCAGAAGCAGCUCAGGCCUUGCACUAGGGCAGAAAAAAAUACAGUACACAAAUAGAAAAAUGAAAAAGGUAAAAGAUGAAGUGAUAAAAAAGGAGACCAAGUCUUCCGCUGAGGCCCUAGUCAGCAUUUGGUCAGUGAAGAUGUGGUGCAAGGACGAGAAAUUUCAUUUUCUGAUUUCUGUUAACAGCUUACAAGGGACAAUGUUUGUUUCUGUUUCUGCUGGGACAGGCGUUGAAGCUGGAUGUUGCCCGCUCUAGCCUUGCAUUCAGACUUGGCACACCGUGGGUGCCCGGGUGCUGAGCUCCUGGCCGCCCUCCCCACGCGCGAGGUCUCGGUGCGCCUCCCCUGCCGCAGCGCUGCAGGCAACAGCCACAAAUGGCUCGUGUCGCACGGCAUUUCGGGCAGAAUGUACUGCUCUUCAGUGUCUUUUAUUUCCGAGUGUUAAUAGUUCAUCUCCCUCAAGUCAGCAAAAUACUGAUCAUAAUUGCAGUUUUGGACUUCAGUGCAUUGUGUGCAGGUUGUACACGUGGAGAUGCUUUGUCUGUGAAUCCCUUGAACUCCCAGGGGCAGCAGAGGCUUUCCGUGUCUCAGGGAUGCUCUGGAACUGCAUCAGCUCUUCUGGAGGAACGGGCUCCCUGGAGCAGACUGCUGCCAAGAACAGCAGUUCUCUGCUGUACGCUUUGCACCGAAAAUGUCCACCCGCCUCACACCAGUGCAUUGAAAUGCAGCGCAACAAGGCAGGCCUGUUCUCCUAGCUUCCCAUUCCCUGAGGAUGCUUGCUGCACGCACAGCGGACUCGGGGAGUGCUGCCUCGUGGGUGCCGUGCCUGUGGCCGUGCCUUCCCGAAGCAGGAGCGGGGAGCACGGGGGGCCGAGGAGCUGCCCGGGGCCGGGCACCCUGCAGUCAGCCCAGGGCCCGUCUUGCUGCAGCGAGCUCGUUCCUCAGGAGCUGUAA